GUAUAUUUUUAAAUGUUUAGAUAAUUAAUUUAAUUAAGAUUAUUUAAAGGAAUUCGGCAAAUUUUUUAUUCGCCUGUUUAACAAAAACAUGUCCUUUAGUUUAAUAAUUUAAGGUCUAACCUGCCCACUGAAAAGUUUUAAAUGGCCGCAGUAAAUUGACUGUGCAAAGGUAGCAUAAUCAUUAGUUUUUUAAUUAAAAGCUUGUAUGAAUGGUUGGACGAAAUAAAAUCUGUCUCUGGAUAAUAAAAAGAAUUUAAUUUUUAAGUAAAAAAGCUUAAAUAUAAUUAAAAGACGAGAAGACCCUAUAGAUCUUUAUAUUAAAUUUUAUAUUUUUAUUUAAGAUUAUUUUAUUUAUUAUAUUAUUUAUUAUUUUAUUGGGGUAAUAGGAAGAUUAAUAAAAUUCUUUUUAAAAUAUUUACAAAAAUUAUUGAUUAUUUGAUCCUUUAUUAAAGAUUAUAAGAUUAAGUUACCUUAGGGAUAACAGCGUAAUUUUUUUAAAGAGUUCAUAUCGAUAAAAAAGUUUGCGACCUCGAUGUUGGAUUAAAAAUUAUCCCAGGUGUAGAAGUUUGGGUAUUUUGGUCUGUUCGACCAUUAAAUUUUUACAUGAUCUGAGUUCAGACCGGUGUAAGCCAGGUCGGUUUCUAUCUUUAUUUUAUUAUUAUAUUUCAGUACGAAAGGACCAAAUAUAAGAUAUAUUAAUAUUUUAAUUUUGAAUUAUAUU
rnacentral:rRNA from 1 species